rnacentral:tRNA from 1 species
UACUCAGUAGGUAAGUGGAUAAAGCGUUGGCAUUUGACGCGAAAGGUACUGGGUUCGAGUCCCAGAGUA